CCUGGCUGGCCAUCAUCCUCUUCUUCUGCUUUGUUCAUUUGCAUUGCAUUAUUUUUAUUAAAUGAGCUUUCAGUGGAGCCCUGCUCUCUGUCAAAAGAAGAAUCAAACCCUGGAAUAUUUCAGCGUGCAUCAGUUGGGUUUGCAGGUGACACCAGCAGGGCAGCAGCCCCAGCUCAGCCAGGGGCUCUCCUCGUGCAGCAGCCCAGGGGAUCCCAUCCUGCUGCUCCCUCAUCCCUUCGGACACCCAGCUGCUCGUCCCAGGUGCCACUGCUGCCAUGGGAACUCGUAUCCAGCAGUGGAGGAGGUAUAAAGACAACCAGCAUGGAUUUCCCUGUCUGGUCCCCUGCAUCUUUGCACAUUUUCUGUCCUUUCUGUCUCUGCAGCACUUGUGAGCUGUCUCUGGUUUUCACCAUAAAGCAGCAUGGGAAUUCUCCCAGCUGGUAUUUAGUGGAAACCAGCCUCCUGCAUUCUCCCCACCCAAUUUCCAAGCUUCCAAUUAAAAGAACAGUAAUUUGGAACCCAAUUUCUAGUCACAAUACUCUUAACAUUUAGUGUAUGUUGUUGCAAUUAUUAUUGAAGGUGGAUAUAAAGUUGGGUUAGUGAAUAUAUGAUUUUAUGUAAUAAUUUUCUCACAGUUACCUGCCAGAUAAUUUCCCAUUUUUCGGGCUCACUUUUAAAGAUAGGACAUAGACACUACACUGUUAAUAAUGCAGUGCAAAUUUUAAUGACUGGGAGUUGAAAUUGGCUAGAGAGAGAAAGCAGGCUUCCUAUUUGAAAAUCCCUUUCUGUGCAGUAUCCAAACGUGUUCUCUGCUCUCCCGAGUGGCUGUGAGGGUGUGCAGACACCCCGGACAGGCAGCGCUGCAGCUUCUUUGCAGGCACCUGCCUUUUGUGCUUUUCAUAUGUGUGGGUUUCACAUCACUUCUAGAUCCCUGCAGUCACAAUAUUUAGACUGUGUUAAUUUGCUAAUUGCAUUUGGAAACUUUCUUUCCUAGCUGAAGGCAGCAUGUUUGGAGAUGCCUGUGAGAGCAGCACGUUCACAGAGUGGGCCCUGGGGAAAGGGCAGCUCCUCCUGGCCCUGUCACUUUAGCUCUGGGAUCUCCCUUCCACAGCUCAGGAGCGUAAAAACUUGGGAGAUGGGAAAAUUGUGUCCUGUGUUACAGCUGUAACUGGACAGACUGGGGAGUGCUGGGAGAGGGACAGGAUGGGAAGGUUUGGGCUGAUGGCAGACCCUCAUCCUGGUGACCGCUGGGACACUGCAGUUUCCCUCCUCAAGGCACACACUUGUAAACUGAUUCUCUCAAUAGCACCAGCUGUCUUUAUACUGCAGCAGAUUUCUCCAGCCCCUUCUCCAAAAGAGCCCAGAAAUGGCCUCUGCUGGGAGAAGCAGGGAGCGGGAGGUGCCCAGCUUGCCACAGCAGUUUGGUGGCACUGGACUGGUGUGUGACUGGCAGAAACAAACAGGGCUCUGUUGCUCUCCUUGGAAAUAACAUUUCCUGGAGGUGGCUCUCGGUGACACCUCCCAGAGCCUUGUAGUGGCUUCACAUCCUGCUUUACCCUGGUGCAAAGCCACGGUGCUCACGGAGCAAAUUUAUGGCUUUUCCUUGGCUGGGAACCAGGGUCGCUCCUCUCAGUCGAACACGCUCCUCCCAUGGGCCCUUUGGGAAGGGUCCGUCACACAGGGAUCAGUUUUUUCAGAAUAGCCCUACUCAGUUGCAGAUUAAAGUUUGGAGAGUUUCCUUUAAAACACACUGACUGCAGCUUUUGUUACUUCAAAAGAAGCACAGGAUAUUUCACAUACCUUCCCUUGUUGUAAUGACUGUUAUAGACGUUUUCCCCUUAAAAUAGCUGGAAUUCAUUAAGUCAAAUUCAUUGGCAAGAAAUCUGUGAACUGAGUGUAGCUUGUUUAAGUCUCAGGACUAGUUAAAAAUAGUUCGUGUGCAUUAAUUCUGUGGAAAACAAAAGAGUAAAUAAUUUCCAUUAGUUUAAUGGAAAUGAGAUAAUGGCACGGUUUCUCCAGUGUGUUAUAAUUACACAGUUUAUUUGAAGAAUAAGAUUCUAGAGUACUAUAAGGAACUCUGUAUGGUUGUUACUACUGUAAACAAUCAUAAUCAUUAAAGUAGAAGGUUUUCUCAGGUCUGCAUGGUCCCUGGGAAUUGUUAAAACUCUUGUACAAGACAUUAGAUUUUUAAAUUUUAAUUUUUUUUAAAAGCUUAAACCAAUAAUUUUCAGCUGAAGAGAUAAUGUGGGAAGUAAUUGCUUAUCCCAGUCAGAUGGCCCAGAAUAACUUGAACUUUUCCAGUUUCUUAGUGGUGUGCAACAGCUUUUGUGAUGUGUGUGUUUGGUGAUGAGCUCACUGCAGUGAGCUCAGCAGCCUGCUCUGCUCUCUGGGGAGAAUUAAAAUGUGAGGGCUUGAAAAUGCUGCAGGAACAGGGAGCAGCAGUCUGGGAGUGGAGCUUUGGCCACCCCAGAUCCUUCACAAGAACAUGGGACAAGCUCUCUAAGGUGCAACUGUUGGGUUAUUGCAUUGCUUAUGGAUUUGAAGGCCAGGAAGGAGUCUGACAUUCUGGAUAACAAUUAAAAUGGUUAAUUCUGUAUUAGGUCUCAGAUCUGUGUUUAAAUAGUCUGUAUUGUGCUGCUUCAGCUCGUGUUGCUGUUUCCAGGAGGAGAACCUGUUCUUCCCUCACCACCCAGUCAGGCUUUGCUGUGUACAUCUUUGUGUCUGAGUUUCCCCAGCUCCAGCUUCUGGACUUCUCAUGCCAAGACAUUUUAGAUUUGUCAGUCAGCUCGUUCUCACAGAACCCCAGACUUGUUUGGGGGAGAACAGACCUUAAACCCCAUCCCAUUCCAUCCUUGCCAUCCCUUCCAGUACCCCAGGCUGCUCCAAGCCCUGUCCUACCUGGUCUGGGACAUUUCCAGGGAUCCAGGGACAGCCACAGCUGCUCAGGGCAAAGCUCUGGAUAGUUUCUUCCCAUGGUUUAUUGGUAAUUAUUGUGCAAACAGGCUGAUUAAAUCUUUUCUCGCACUAAAAAAUAAGGGAGCAGUUUUAGUUUUACCUUUCCUAACACUGUCAAACAAAUUUGUUGUCUUAUCAAAACCAAAAUCUGGGUGGCUGUUGUCUCUCAGAAUCCUGGAAUUUUUCUCUCUGUGUCAUUAUACCAUGGUGAAAGAAAUUAGCUCUGUGACUACUUUGGGGGCUUUGUUUGCCAUUAAAUAUAUUUCUAUCUAAACAGGAUAAUACUUGUUUCCAUUUUUGUAUAAAACAAAAUAUACACGUGCUAUUGUUUUGACAAACUCAGACACCGAGGCUCUGCUCUGUCCUAUCAUUUAAUUACGUCUUCCAGAUUUCUUGGUGUCUUUGAUGCUGUGGCAGAACUAACUAUGGUGUAAGAAGGAAAAUAUUUUGUAACAUUAGAAAAGCUCUGUAAGGGUAGAAAACGCUCAGUAAGCUUUUUCCAUGAUCUCCAGAGAAAGGCACGGGAAAAAUAAAUUACUUUCUAAAGUUUGGGAUGCA
ensembl:lncRNA